CAUGAUUGCAUGUCCUCCUGCUGCCUUGCCAGCUCAACAUUGUUCUGGACAUUUAUUCUCUAGUUGUCUCAUAUCUUGACAAUAAUUUUGAGUUUUUCUCUUAAUAAUUAUUAGUCUGUACCUGGUUCUUAACCUACAACAAUUCAUGACAAUAAAUAGGCUUUAUUUUUCGCAAGAGGAAAGUGAAUUAUUGGCCUUACAGAUCGCAACGUGGGACUAACAUCACAUCUCUUUGUUCUCCAUAACACUGGUGAAAACUGUCAAAUCAGAGAGGCUAGGGAAGCCUGCGACUCACCCACCCUGUCAAUCACCCUCCAUGUGUGCUGGCCCCGUCAGGCUGGAGGUGAGCACCGCUGACAGACUUCAAGCAACUAUCUCAAGGACAUCAGAGGGUCAUUUGCUCACAUCUGUAGGGUUGUGUAAGGUGAAGUUGAUUUUACUGGAGGAGAUAUGGUGUGUGCAUCCAGCAGGCUGCAGGAUGUAAAUGCAUAAACAAGAUUCAGAAAUCACUUCCAGGAAAGCAAGACGGAAACUGGAAGAAAACCGUUUUUGGAUAGAGCAAGAUGAGCCCAAGCAUAGGCUACAUGUUUCUUUCUCUUACUGUCACACGGGCUGUCCAGCACUAUGGCUCCAGGUGGUUUGUCUGACAGUCUUUAAACAUGAGAGAUAAGAGAGAAUAAUUAAUUUAUCAGAGCAGGGCAGGCUUUAAUCCCCGGUGUCCUGGUGAUAAGGGAAGGUUUCUUCUCCCCUGAUCCCUCUGCCGAUAUGGACCUUUUUUUUUUCC